rnacentral:rRNA from 1 species
AGAAUCAACGCUGGCGGCGUGCCUCAGACAUGCAAGUCGAACGCGAAAGUCUCCUUCGGGGGACAAGUAGAGUGGCGCACGGGUGAGUAACACGUAGGUAAUCUACCUUUGGAUGGGGAAUAACAACCGGAAACGGUUGCUAAUACCGCAUAAUGCAGCGGCACCUAAUGGUGACAGUUGUUAAAGCGGGGGAUCGAAAGACCUCGCGUCUGAAGAGGAGCCUGCGGCGGAUUAGCUAGUUGGUAAGGUAAUGGCUUACCAAGGCUACGAUCC